AAGUCGUAACAAGGUUUCCGUAGGUGAACCUGCGGAAGGAUCAUUACUGAGUGGCUGUAUUCGUGAUUCUCUUCGGAGAGGCGAAGCUACCCGACCUGAUGUCAUUCUAUCCGAGGGCGCGUCCGCAUGAGACAGCGGAUCGACGUUGGAGUUACCCGGACGAGGCGCUUGUCUCGAAAGGGGAAGCUCCGGGUCGGGCCGUGGCGCGCCUCUCGGCACAACUUUCCGCGGAAGUGGUAGGCGUUGACCUGCCCGCCGCGGGCCGUAUUUUCUACAACUCUUGAAGAAAACCUGAAGUCUGAAUAUCCAAACAAAAUGAAAAGCAAAACUUUCAACAACGGAUCUCUUGGCUCUG
rnacentral:misc_RNA from 1 species